AGUGAACGCUGGCGGUAGGCCUAACACAUGCAAGUCGAACGGCAGCACAGUAAGAGCUUGCUCUUACGGGUGGCGAGUGGCGGACGGGUGAGGAAUACAUCGGAAUCUACUUUUUCGUGGGGGAUAACGCAGGGAAACUUACGCUAAUACCGCAUACGACCUACGGGUGAAAGCAGGGGAUCUUCGGACCUUGCGCGAUUGAAUGAGCCGAUGUCGGAUUAGCUAGUUGGCGGGGUAAAGGCCCACCAAGGCGACGAUCCGUAGCUGGUCUGAGAGGAUGAUCAGCCACACUGGAACUGAGACACGGUCCAGACUCCUACGGGAGGCAGCAGUGGGGAAUAUUGGACAAUGGGCGCAAGCCUGAUCCAGCUAUACCGCGUGGGUGAAGAAGGCCUUCGGGUUGUAAAGCCCUUUUGUUGGGAAAGAAAAGCAGCAGGUUAAUACCCCGCUGUUCUGACGGUACCCAAAGAAUAAGCACCGGCUAACUUCGUG
rnacentral:rRNA from 1 species